rnacentral:rRNA from 1 species
UACAGGGGGUGCAAACGUUGCUCGGAAUCAUUGGGCGUAAAGCGCACGUAGGCGGACUUUUAAGUCAGGGGUGAAAUCCUGGAGCUCAACUCCAGAACUGCCUUUGAUACUGGAAGUCUUGAGUCCGGAAGAGGUAAGUGGAACUGCGAGUGUAGAGGUGAAAUUCGUAGAUAUUCGCAAGAACACCAGUGGCGAAGGCGGCUUACUGGUCCGGUACUGACGCUGAGGUGCGAAAGCGUGGGGAGCAAACAGGG